GGGAGCUGCAUUUUGUUGUUAGAGAUGCAGUAUUCGGAUGUUAGUGAAGGAAGUUUAGUUGAUGGAGGGUUUUUUUGUUUUUAGUUUGAGUAGAACCCUAGAGAAGAAUGCUUUGAUACUACUGAGGAUGGUGUUUGGGAAUUGCCCAUUUGAGAGAGAAGAUGCCAACUUUGAUGCUUAUCUUUCUUCUUUCUUUACUCACUCUGCUUACUACUACUACUCUAGGGAUAACAUUGCCACACAUUUACCUGUCUCCUACUCUACCGCCAAACAAGCCUUACUUUGCAA
rnacentral:misc_RNA from 1 species